rnacentral:misc_RNA from 1 species
CGAAUGGGUCCAAAGACUCUUAAAACCUACCGUGCUCCCCUACGUGGAAAACAGGAAAGCCCUCCGGGGCAUAGAAAUCUGAGAAGUUGAGAACUGCGCCCCGGCGCAUGACUAAGCAAAAAAUUA